rnacentral:rRNA from 1 species
CCAAUAGCGUAUAUUAAAGUUGUUGCAGUUAAAAAGCUCGUAGUUGAAUUUCGGGGUUAGUAGGUUGGUCAUGCCAUCGGUAUGUACUGGUCUCACUGAUUCCUCCUUCCUGAUGAACCGUAAUGCCAUUAAUUUGGUGUUGCGGGGAGACUGGACUGUUACUUUGAAAAAAUUAGAGUGUUUAAAGCAGGCUAACGCUUGAAUACAUUAGCAUGGAAUAAUGAAAUAGGACGUUCGAUCCUAUUUUGUUGGUUUCUAGGAUUGACGUAAUGAUUAAUAGGGAUAGUUGGGGGCAUUAGUAUUCAAUUGUCAGAGGUGAAAUUCUUGGAUUUAUUGAAGACUAACUACUGCGAAAGCAUUUGCCAAAGAUGUUUUCAUUAAUCAAGAACGAAAGUUAGGGGAUCGAAGACGAUCAGAUACCGUCGUAGUCUUAACCAUAAACUAUGCCGACUAGGGAUCGGAUGAUGUUAAUUUUUUAAUGACUCAUUCGGCGCCUUACG